UCCCUGGAGGACUAGUGGUUAGGCCUUGGCGCGCUCUUCGCCACGGCCCGGGUUCGAUUCCCAGCCAGGGAA